GUUCCCGUAGUUUAACGGAUAAAACAAGCGCCUCCUAAGCGCUAGCUAUGGGUUCGAUUCCCGUCGGGAACG
rnacentral:tRNA from 1 species